CUGUCCGACCCUAGUGCAGCUGUAAACAAGCGGGCCAAAUCUGCUGGCUACAUGAUAUGACGAUAACGCCGUAGUCUGAAGCAGCCAACAAGUUCUACAUUUCUAGCAACAUUCUAUCAAGCACGAACUGGCUACAUAGAACGUUGAUAUUCAUAAAUAAAUCCAACCCACUUCAAUAGGUCUGAACACAGUCUGUGGGCGAGCAGAAUGUCUAGCUGACGGCUCUCCACGCAGGAGUGUGAUGAUUUGUAACUAUGCAGCACAAAUAUGGCCAUCGGAGUCUGAUGUUUCUGCUUGGCUCUUCCUAAGGACUUGUCCUUCACCAGCCUCAUCCAACCUCAACACAACAUAGCAAUUCUUAAUUGCUAUUAUAACACUUGUUUGGGGGGGGGGGGGGG